UGAGAGGGCUCCACGAAGGUUAUUUGUUGCUGAAACUUUGCAGGAACAUCAAACCUUUGAUAGUCUUUGAUCCCUGAAAGUUUCAAUUUUUUUAUUUUCUUUCAAUUUUUUAUGAAUUUACUGUUUAUGAGGGUGUAGGGGCACCCGGGAGCUGUUAGACAUUUCUCUCAGGACAAGUUCGAUCAGUACGGAAAGUUUAUAAACUACUGAAGGUGGAACCGUUUGACUAGCAUCUGCAUGCACCAUUGAUCAGUAUGUAUGUUUUCUUGAAUUAGUGUACCCGUUAUGAUAAUAUGCUUUUGACUUCUAGUGAUAGUCUUUUCAUUAGCUUCCCGUGAAGCUAACUGUCCAUUUCUUAUUUUUAGAGGAAAGGAAUUCACUCAACUUUAUAAAUAAAGUUACUAGGCAGAGUACGCGGUAACAAAGCGACCCAGAAGGUAAAAGGAUAAAACACAAGCAUGGCCUACAACCAGGCCAAUAGUCCCAAACGAUCACACGGCACGCAAGCCGGCACAAAAGCAGAACAAUGUCUGCUUCUAAUUUACAAUUUAGAAUUUAUACACACUAUUUUUUUUUUGGAUCUGAACACGGAUGUGCGCCAACUUUUAUUUUGGCCAAAGACAAAGGUUUAUGCACCUUUUUUCAAUAUUUUUCAUGACUCAGAAUCGGGUCCAUUACCAAUCCUUUCUCCAUCAAGAGCAUUCAUACCAUCGUCGAGGUCGAGCCAUAGGUAGAGUUCAACUUCCUCCUUGCUUUCUCUACAACCAACUAUUUUUGGUACUUUAGACAUUUGAAUUGAUCUCAUAUUUUGCAAUUCCUAAACUAGGAUGAUUAGAAACAUCUCCAUCAAGCUGCCGUAUAACUUGAUGUAUUUGCACAUUGAUGUGCUGGAAUUUAUCCUUUACAGGUGACACAUAUAUUCACCUUUUACUUAAGGAUCGACUCGUGGAUUAAUUAUAGAACCCAAUUGUAGUAAAAAGAUGAAAACUUAUAUGAAGUUAAUGCAUUCAUAGAAUGUUCUCUCUCCUUUACAAUGACAUAUUAUGUUGUGCACCCCAAUGUGGAAGACAUUCAAUCUACUCAUUACCUGCUUUGAUUUUAAUUAGCACGAAGUUUGUUAUUUUGAAGCAGAUGUCCCAGUUCCUGGUUCAGAAUUUGAUGUUGCUUAAGCCAUUUUAUGUUGAAACUCUGAUACGGAAGAGCGCCCGUGACGUUGUCCGGUUAAGCUAUUGGCUAUCUAAGUUUGUUGGUGAUGUUGUCAUUGCAAUGCAUCGAAGUUCUUAUGCCAGCAAUUUUUAUGCGAACUUAAACCACUGAUCAAUGGCUGCUUGUGUUUGCUGCUAAAGAGUUCAAUACAUAGCAAGUAGAGAAGGGAGGAAGCACACCCUGCAUUUUCUACAGCCAGGUAGUCUGCCUGCUGAUUUCCUUCUUUUCUGAAAAAUACCGAGGCAGCUGCAAAAGGAGAUCAGGUGGGCUGAGCGGCCGGACGGCGCUGCACGUGGCGCUAUCAUCAAGAGUAGCAUCGCCAGGAGACCUUCACCCAUCAGGAUUUUUGGGGACACAAGGGCACCAACUACACCAAGAAGUUCAGUGGAUGACGGCAGACCGUGUCAUCAUGCACUUGGAGAUGCUGGAGACACAUGUAUGUACCAUAUCUUAUGAAACCAACUUAUGGAACAAUUUCUUUCAAUGCCCUGCAAACGCUUGAACAAUGUCAGGAUGGAGCCAUGGUACCAGGUGCUAUAGAGCAAGGGCAUAAUCCAGGCCAAGAAGGAUGGUAUCAAGGUGCAAUUAUAGUUGGGAAAGCCUUGAGGGUGUGGUCGACAGCAUACACACGGACGCUGAUGGUACAUGGAUUUUGCAUCAAGAAGGACCCUAUGUAUAAGGUAAUGGUCCGGUCUACUGGAUGCAAUAAGAUAUAUCUUACAUGUUAGAUCUUCCUUCUCUUUUUCUUUUGAGUGUCAAAGCAAACGCUUUAUUACGCAACCAAGUUAGGCAUAUCGCCUACAAAAAGUCCAGCCACAGACGGCGGAACACUAACAUCCCAUAUAGUGGGUUCAUUCACAUUACAUUCAUAGCCUAGCUUAGCGAGCUCAUGUGCUGCACCAUUGGCCUCCCUCCUACAUGCCACAACAUUGCAUUUUGAAAACCAUAGUCUCAUUUGGACCUUCAGGUCAUCCAGGACAGAAGCAUACGCCAAGAAGCUUGGCUCCUUCUGCAUGAGCGCCGCCUGCAGCAGCUGUGAAUCGGUCUCAAGGCAAAUUCGGAUCGCCCCUAGAUGGUUUGCCAGCUCCAUCACGCCGGCCGCCGCUUGUAGCUCUGCUGCAAAAGCAUCGUAGAUAUGCUCGCACUUGCCCGCCAUGCAGGCAACUGCAUCCCCAGUAUGAUCACGGGCAAUCACUCCCCAUGCGGACUGAGAGCUUCCCGACAUAUGUGCACCGUCAAUGUUAAACUUCAGUACGUCCACUUCUGGCGCCCGCCAUUUCGUCUUCUCUUUCGGGGUGUUCUGUUUAUGCUUACCCAUGAUAUCCCAGUAUUCUGUGGUGGCGAGCAUAGUUCGGUGCACUAUCUCCUCCGGCCGGGUUCUUCCUUCGUUUUUCCUCACUCGGUUUCUCUCAUUCCACCACUCCCACUAGAGAUAUAAAAUCUGCACCCUAUCCUCCAUCCACAAUGACCACAGUGGUCCAUGACAGCCCCCACAGAGUCAUAAUUCUCCAGCUCCAUUCUGACAUCUUCUUUUCCCAUAAACUCGCCACACCUCCUUCACCGCCUUGCACCGUAUAAAGAGAUGGCCACCGUCCUCGACGUUCCUCGCACAGAACAGGCAUAAAGUACCGUGCCUAGCAUUUAUAGAAGAAUAAAUUUCUUAGAUUCUCAGUUGUUGUGUGGACCAAAAUUAUUAUUUUUCUUCCGUUAGAGCAUCUACAGCCGGACUCCUCAAAUUGAUCGGGCAGGCACGGGAAUCACUAACCGGACAGGAGAGAGAAGUAAAGAGUAGCAAAAAGUUGACCCAACCGAACUCUUCAUAUCUUCUCUAUAUGUCCGAGCUGUCCGCGAACCCUCAUAUCCAUCUUCAAUAUGGGGAGGAUAUGAGGGCUCCCGGACACGCCCGGGCGCGCCCGGUCAAUCUGCCACGUAGGACGUGGCCCGACCCCCGGACCAUAUUUUCUCUUUCUUUAUUCAUCUUUUCUGUCUCUCUCUUCAUCUUCACCAAUCAUGUGCAAGUGACCGGACAUAUGAGGAAGAAAAUAAGAAUUGUGGU